rnacentral:lncRNA from 1 species
GAGGGAGUACACUUUGGCCUUCCCUCUCAGAUUCCAACUUUGUAGGUUUGAGAGUGGUGUUGGCAGGAUUGGCAUUUUGGAAAGAAUCUUUUGUGAGUCUAAUGGAGAUGGUCCCAGGAUCACACUUUGAGAAACAUUGCAAGGUGGUUAGAGGAUGGUGAAAUCAUUGAAGUUAAGAAUCAGACUCUUUUCUUUCUUUGAUUUCCUUUACCCUUGAAGCUAGUACUUUUUCCACAUUAUUAAACCAUCUUGAAGCAUUUUAGUCUGGGAACAUAAUUUAUAACUGCAUUAUUUCCAGUAGCUAAGAGGUGGAAACAACCUAAAUGUUAAUCAGCAGAGACAGGGAUAAAAAAAUGUGAUAUAGACAUACAAUGGAAUAUUGCUCAGGAUUAAAAAAAGGAAAUCCUGUCAUAUGCUACAACAUAGAUAAACCUGGAGGUCAUCAUGCUAACUUAAAUAAACCAGUCACAGACACAUACCACAUGAUUCCACUUACAUGAGGUAUCUAAAAUAGCCAUACUCUUAGAAACAGAAAGUAGAAUGGGUAGUUACCAAGGGAUAGGGAUGAAGAAAGGGAGAGUUGUUUAGUGGUUAUAGAGUUUUGGUUUUGCAAGAUAAGGAAGUUCUGUGUUUCUUUUUUACAACAAUGUGCAUGUAGUCAACACUAUUGUAAUGUACACUGAAAAAUGGUUAAAAUGGUAAAUUUUGUUACUCCUCCCAUCCCACUUUUUUAGACAGGGUCUGGCUCCUGUCACCUAGGCUAGAGUGCAGUGGUGUGAUCAUAGCUCACUGCAACCUUGAACUCCUGGGCUCAAGCAGUACUCCUGCCUAAGCCUCCCCAAUAGCUAGGACUAUGGUUAUGUGCCACUAGGCUCAGCUAAUUUUUUUAGGUUUUGUAGAGACAGUCUUGCCAUGUUGCCCAGGCUAGUGUUGAACUUCUGGCCUCAAGCGAUCCUCCUGUCUCGGCCUCUCAAAGCACUGGGAUUACAGGGUGUGAACCACUAUGCCUGGCCUAUGUUUUUUUUUUUAACCAUAAUUAAAAAAAAAAAAAAAAGAAACCACCUGUCUGCAUUCUGAUAUUUUACCUGAUAGGACAAAUUUGCCUUAGGUAAACCUUUAUAAACAGGCAUGAUCUUUUAGAAACUACUCAAACGUUUUAAAAGGAAGAGCAAGAGCAAGUGUCAGUUAUGACACUUGAAGAGUCAUAACUGGUUACCUUUGUUACAGUUUAAAAAAGGUAGCACUUUCUGUGUUUCACAGGGUGAAUGCCUUCAUCCAUUGGAACCUGAACCAUGAGUAUUUCCUUCUGAGACUUUCAUCAAACUAAGUCUGCAUGAAGCCUGAGUCCUGUGGUAACUGGAACCUCAUAAUAGCAUUUACAUUUGGUGUUAAAAUGCACCCAACAGGAAAAAGGAUUCAGUUAUUUUCAAGCUUCCAAAUUCCAAAUGUGCUGAAUAGACAUUUCCUUUAAAAAAUAAAUAUACAAAAUGGAUUUGUGUGACUUGAAGUUUAAAAGAAAUGUUCUUGCAUGCCAUAGUUAAGAAUUGUAACAAUAUCACAUUCUCAAGUUUACUUAUUUUAAAAGUAGACUGUCAUGGUUUGGCUCAGCUACUAAAUUAAAUUAUUGCUGGCUU